AACGAACGCUGGCGGCAUGCCUAACACAUGCAAGUCGAACGAGACCUUCGGGUCUAGUGGCGCACGGGUGCGUAACGCGUGGGAACCUGCCCUUAGGUUCGGAAUAACUCCCCGAAAGGGGUGCUAAUACCGGAUAAUGUCUUCGGACCAAAGAUUUAUCGCCUUUGGAUGGGCCCGCGUUGGAUUAGCUAGUUGGUAGGGUAAAAGCCUACCAAGGCGACGAUCCAUAGUUGGUCUGAGAGGAUGAUCAGCCACACUGGGACUGAGACACGGCCCAGACUCCUACGGGAGGCAGCAGUGGGGAAUAUUGGACAAUGGGCGAAAGCCUGAUCCAGCAAUGCCGCGUGAGUGAGGAAGGCCUUAGGGUUGUAAAGCUCUUUUACCCGGGAUGAUAAUGACAGUACCGGGAGAAUAAGCUCCGGCUAACUCCGUG
rnacentral:rRNA from 1 species